CCUACGGGAGGCAGCAGUGAGGAAUAUUGGUCAAUGGACGAGAGUCUGAACCAGCCAAGUAGCGUGAAGGAUGACUGCCCUAUGGGUUGUAAACUUCUUUUAUAUGGGAAUAAAAUGUUCCACGUGUGGGCUUUUGUAUGUACCAUAUGAAUAAGGCUCGGCUAACUUCGUGCCAGCAGCCGCGGUAAUACGGGGGAUCGGAGCGUUUUCCGGAUUUACUGGGUUUAAAGGGAGCGUAGGUGGAUUUUUAAGUCAGUUGUGAAAGUUUGCGGCGCAACCGUAAAAUUGCAGUUGAAACUGGCAGUCUGGAGUACAGUAGAGGUGGGCGGAAUUCGUGGUGUAGCGGUGAAAUGCUUAGAUAUCACGAAGAACUCCGAUUGCGAAGGCAGCUCACUGGACUGCAACUGACACUGAGGCUCGAAAGUGUGGGUAUCAAACAGGAUUAGAUACCCUUGUAGUC
rnacentral:rRNA from 1 species